CCAGCUGCGAAGGGUGGGCGAAGUGGUGCUGGACGUAAAGAGGAAUUUCUCGAAUUCUGCCACCUUUUUCCCAACAGUCGCGCUGACCUGAGUCUUUGCAGUCAGGAGAGGGAACAGUGUCUACUACAAUAGUUCGUGCUCACUUCCAAAGCCUUCAUCGUGAUCUUCAUCUUCCACCUCUUCCUCAUCAUCUUCAUCCUCAUCAGGAUCAGCUGCGCCUGCAUGAUCAGCCGAGCCAUCACUGACAAAAAGAGAAUAAUUAUGCUCUUCUUUUUUCUGUGAAGGGUCUGACACUGAGGUGCUAGCAGAGAGGUUGCUCUUCUCAGCAAUAAGUCCUGGAGCUUCCUGGGGUGGCGUGAGGAGCAGAGCCUGAGUCUCUUUGAAAGGCAAUACAGGAGCACUGUGAUUCUGAAGGGGGUCAAUUCCUUUCUGCUCUUGUCUCUUUGCUACAGCUCCACAGUAGCAGGUGUUUUCUUUUGCAGCAUCAGCAUUUGCCUGGCUCAGAGCGGACCUGUUCUGGUGCACUGGAUUUAUCUUCACUUUUGCCUUUUUAACAUAAUCCUUACAUUCAAUGUGAAUAUUCACUUUCUCAUUAUUGUACAUAUUGGUCUUAACCAUGAUUUGUGUGCUUGAA